rnacentral:rRNA from 1 species
UACGUAGGGGGCAAGCGUUGUCCGGAAUCAUUGGGCGUAAAGCGCGCGUAGGCGGCCCGGUAAGUCCGCUCUGAAAGUCCAGGGCUCAACCCUGGAAAGCGGGUGGAUACUGCCGGGCUUGAAUCCGGAAGAGGCGAGUGGAAUUCCUGGUGUAGCGGUGGAAUGCGCAGAUAUCAGGAGGAACACCAAUAGCGAAGGCAGCUCGCUGGGACGGUAUUGACGCUAAGGCGCGAAAGCGUGGGGAGCAAACAGG